rnacentral:lncRNA from 1 species
UUUCAAGAACCUGGAAAGCGGUUCAUUUUGUUUUAUCGAGCAGAUUGUGAAAAGAGUUUUCUUGCAGAGUUUUUGUUUUAUAAUCAAAAUAAUUCGAGGGAAGUGACACGACUUUUCUUUUGAGAUUUUUUUUUUUUUCUGGACAAAAUCUAAUAGAGGGAGAGAGAGAAAAAAAUCUAACCAAAGCCAAGACUUGCAGACAAAAGUUACACACAAUCAGAAAACCCUCAAAGAUAGGUAUAAAUUAUUCUGUCACUAAAUUAAAGUAUUGGUAGAAGAAAAGUCUUAAAAAUGUAAAAUGAGUACUAGCCAAAUACCUUCACAGUUAAUGGAAUUAUGGAAACUUCUCUCUGGUGUGAAUACCCCCAAACACAUUUUAGAUUUAUUUUUAAAGUGUAGUUUAAAGAAACUUUAUACCAUUUAAAAAAAAAAAUAACUUUGAAAGGAAAAGAGCCAAAAGAAAAGCAGAAAUUAGGGCAGUUUUUAAACUACAAGCCAACUGUUUGCUCUACUUUGCUUUAUUUAUUAGUUCUCAAGGUAUUUAAAACUUGAGCAUUAAAACUGCAGAAUAAUUUGCAAAUGAAUGCAGUUGCAGUUGUGAAAAUAUAACUCACAGCUGAAUGUGGGUUAUUCAGACAAAUGGCUGCUUUGUUCGAGGAGGGGAAGUAAAGUUCUGUGUUAAUUUAUUACAAACUGCAGCAUUUCAUCCCUGAUGUCCAGGCAACAAUGUUUUUUAUUUCAAGUAAUUUAUAAGCACU